GGGUUUCAGGGUUAGAUCUUGAAACUUUUUCAAGAUCAUACAGCGGAAGACUAAAAUAAAUUAAAAUUUAUUUUCUAAGAUCAGAAAAUCUCUAGAUCUAAGAUCCUAUUACAUGAUUAUUACAUAGCAUUAAAUCAAAAAUUAAAAUAUAUAUAAAUAUAGUAUGAACUACAUGUUGAUCAUAUCAACAUGUUUCUAUACUAGCUACAUCUAAUGUAUGUAUUAAAUAAUAGAUCAGAUCUAUUACCUUGCAAGUUAGAUGCUCUAACCUCGCUGAUCCGGGUUUAAGGAUGAUGUUG
rnacentral:lncRNA from 1 species